rnacentral:rRNA from 1 species
UACGGGGGGGGCAAGCGUUGUUCGGAAUUACGGGGCGUAAAGGGCUCGUAGGCGGCCAACUAAGUCAGACGUGAAAUCCCUCGGCUUAACCGGGGAACUGCGUCUGAUACUGGUUGGCUUGAAUCCGGGAGAGGGAUGUGGAAUUCCAGGUGUAGCGGUGAAAUGCGUAGAUAUCUGGAGGAACACCGGUGGCGAAGGCGGGUUGCUGGGCCGACACUGACGCUGAUGCGCGAAAGCCAGGGGAGCGAACGGG